rnacentral:lncRNA from 10 species
CCGCUUGCUGCCCGCCUCAGUCAGACGCGGCUCCGCUCCGGCCUCCGAGAGAAAACAGUCCCCAACGCCACCUCCACGGCCGCUGCUAUCGCUACUGAGCCAACAAAGGGGCGUGCGUCACCGCGUCGCGCUGCGUCGUCGCGUCGGCCUUCCUGGGCCUGGGACCCGAGGGGAGCCGAGCGGGAAUUGCUUUCCUGGUUCGAUCCGCUGCCGCUGUGAGGGCCGAGCGGAAACCCGUAGACCUUUUAUGUGAAGAGAUUGCGGCCUCCUGGUCACCAGUCACCGAGAGAGGGACCCCUGGACCGCCUACGUGGUGGUGUCUGCCGCAGGCCAUAGGGAUCCAGCCCACUUAGGCAGUCCCUUGGGGACGCGGCCUUCCCUCCGGAGCGGAAAGGCGCUUCCCGCCCGCCCUGCGGUAAUCCCGGAAGCCCUCAGCCGUUAAGCUAAAAUUUCUGUUGCUUUGGCUACUGAUGGAAACCUGUGAAGCUCAGAAAGGAAAAGGGACCUGGCCAAGACCACAUAACCCUUGCCCUAUUUUAACCGCUGGAUGCCCCAAAACAUGAAUCAUAAAAAUGCUUUGUAAUGUAGAUAUAUUAUGUACUAUGUAGUACAUAAAAGACAUGAAUGCUUCAACAAAAUACAGGCAAUAAUAGAAAUAUCUACAAGGGCCAAAUGUAGCCAGAGAGAUAAUGCUUGAAUCUCAUCUGAAAGUGUGCUAUGUGAGCUGAGUGUUGAUGAAUGGCUAGGAGUUCAACAGAGAAGGUAGGGAAGAUGGUCUAGCCGCAGAGAACAAGCAAAAGCGCAGAAGGUGUCAAGUAAGUAAUAGUUUGGGGAGCUUAAAGUGCAUGGAGGGUACAUGGCAAAAUAUUAGGCAAGUUAGUCAGGGGUCAUGUCAGUUAAGAGCAUUUUAUGCCUAAGAGUGGGCUUAAAUCUUUGCAAACAGGACAUGCGAGCCAGAGAAGUGUUAUGAAGGAAGAAGAGGCAUAAGAAGGCUCCCUCUUGAGAUAAUCUGCUCAACCUUCAAUAAUUCCCAGCAAUCCUAUUAAAUUUUUCUGGAUUGUUCUCCCACUCUCGACAACUCUUUCACACCUUUGCAGUUUCCUCAAACUUCAGCCCUGCCCUUUCACAUCUUCUCAAAACAUGUGACUUUUAGUCACAGAGGAAUUUGAAAAUAUCAGGACCAAUGUGACUUGAGACAUGCUGAGCAAAGAAGAGGGUGUUAAGGGAUAAAGUCAGAGAAAGCAGAUCAAGGUAGGGGGCCAGUAGGGGCCUUGUAGGUCAUCUUAAGAAGUUUACAUUAUUCCAGUGGCAAUUAUUAACGAGUUUUAAGCAGAAGAGUGAAACUAUAUGAUCUGUGUUUUUAAAAAGAUAACUGACUGCUUUAUGGUGAAUGGACUACGAAAACAAAGCAAUUAUGAGGCUAUCUCAGUAGUCCAGGUAAGUAGAUAAUAGCCUGAACUAGGGUUGUGGCAGUGGAGGUGAUAAGAAGUGGUCAGAUUGAGAUAGAAUUUGAAAGAAGAGCCAAAAUAUUUGCUGGUGGCUUGACAGUGGGUUUGAUGGAGGAAACAAGGAUGCCUACUGUAUUUGGAGCUUGAGCGACUGGGUGAAUGGUGGCAUCACUCACUGAAACAUGUUAUUUGAGGUGCUCGUUAGACAUCAGGGUAGAGGUGUUGAGUAGGCAGUUCCAUAAACUAAGAUACAAGACUGAAGGUCAGGAAAAAUUAGAGCUGGAGAUACAAUUUUACCAGAGUUUACACCAGCAAUGUUUAGAAGGUGUUCAUGAAAACUUGAAGGUUGUGUGGAGCAGAAGGAAGAGGGGGUCUGAUAUGCAUGUUCUCCGUGGCACUCCUUAUCUAGGAUUUCUCUAGGGCAAAUGCUCAUUUUACCUCCCACAUCCCCAGUGGUAACUCAGCCUUUAAUACUUCAUGGCAAGAUAGGAUUGAUGUUGGAAUCCAGCUAAAUUGGAUACAAAUGGUACAAUGCAGCUUGGUUAUGAAUGAAUAAAGGACUGCAACAGGAAGCAAAAAUCUUUAGGACUUGAAGAUUGUAGUAAUAGUAAACCCAGAAAUAGCAGCACCUGAUAGGACCACACAGCCCCAAAGUUUUCAGAAAUGAAAAAGCUUUC